UGGCUCUGUAUUAUUUCCUACAAUUGUCUUAAAAAAAAAAAAAAGAUUAAAAAGAAAGACUUUCAAUUGAGUGUGAUUCUGGUAUUGAAAGCUACCAAGGGUCUAAGUCUUUAUCUAAUUAUAGUUCACAACACUCUCCUUCUCUUGCUUAAAUUCUCUCGUUCCCGUCUAACUCAACUGCUUGGAACGCCUUCACAGAUCUUAGAAUCUCUAAUAAGUUUUCACUGGCUCCCUUCCCAUAAUUCUGGAUUCAUCAGAUCAAGUUGUUCCCAGGCCUCCUGCGGAGGGAAGAUCUAUUGAGACGAUUUCUAAAGCACUUCUCGUGCCUACUUUACAGCCUCUGUGAAGACCCAGGAUCCCUCCCUCCGUUUUGUCUGCCCCGGGCCUCCUGUCUACCCAAUGAGCUUCUUAUCUAUCAGUAAGAUCAACGUAGCUGGAUGGAAAAGACUGAGAAGCAAAGGCGAAGCAGACAAUCACAGUUUCAAGAGCUGCUGGCCUCUCUCUCCACCAUGUCUCUGUGUCAGAAAGUUCAGAAAAAGCAGGAUUUUUCCCUGUUCAUGAGUUAUAAACCAGUCUAGAGUUUGCAUCCAUCAACUUGACAAAAUGCCUUUCUCAUCAUGGAUCAAAGCUAUUUUCAUCAUUUUCUUUGUAUUUUUUCUUUAUUCUGAUGCUUCCUUACAAUUUGCACUAAGAAGUGACAUGACAAACUGUAUUUGGUACAUACUUGCACCACAUUCUUGUACUGGGGAAAUUGAGCCGGUCAACCAGUGGCCAAACUUAUCUUAAUAAAUGUACUCUCUGCAGUGAAAAGAU
ensembl:lncRNA